rnacentral:tRNA from 2 species
GGCGGAAUAGCUCAGUCGGUAGAGCACACGGCUCAUAUCCGUGAUGUCUAUGGUUCGAUCCCAUAUUCCGCUA